UACGAAGGGGGCUAGCGUUGUUCGGAAUUACUGGGCGUAAAGCGCGCGCAGGCGGCUAUCCAAGUCUGUGGUGAAAGCCCGGAGCUCAACUCCGGGUCUGCCGCGGAUACUGCGAGGCUUGAGUGCUGUAGAGGGGGGUAGAAUGCCGGGUGUAGCGGUGGAAUGCGUAGAGAUCCGGCAGAAGACCGGUGGCGAAGGCGGCCCCCUGGGCAGUAACUGACACUGAGGCGCGACAGCGUGGGGAGCAAACAGG
rnacentral:rRNA from 1 species